rnacentral:rRNA from 1 species
GACGAACGCUGGCGGCGUGCUUAACACAUGCAAGUCGAACGGAAAGGCCCUGCUUUUGUGGGGUGCUCGAGUGGCGAACGGGUGAGUAACACGUGAGUAACCUGCCCUUGACUUUGGGAUAACUUCAGGAAGCUGGGGCUAAUACCGGAUAGGAGCUCCUGCUGCAUGGUGGGGGUUGGAAAGUUUCGGCGGUUGGGGAUGGACUCGCGGCUUAUCAGCUUGUUGGUGGGGUAGUGGCUUACCAGGGCUUUGACGGGUAGCCGGCCUGAGAGGGUGACCGGCCACAUUGGGCCUGAGAUACGGCCCAGACUCCUACGGGAGGCAGCAGUGGGGAAUAUUGCACAAUGGGCGGAAGCCUGAUGCAGCAACGCCGCGUGCGGGAUGACGGCCUUCGGGUUGUAAACCGCUUUCGCCUGUGACGAAGCGUGAGUGACGGUAAUGGGUAAAGAAGCACCGGCUAACUACGUG